UAACACCGGGAAACUGGUGCUAAUACCGCAUGACAUCUUCGGGUCACACUGAAGAUCAAAGCCGGGGACCGCAAGGCCUGGCGCUUGGAGAGGAGCCCGCGUCCGAUUAGCUAGUUGGUGGGGUAAUGGCCUACCAAGGCUUCGAUCGGUAGCCGGCCUUAGAGGGCGGACGGCCACACUGGGACUGAGACACGGCCCAGACUCCUACGGGAGGCAGCAGUGGGGAAUUUUUUUUCGCAGUGGGGGAAACCCUGACGAAGCAACGCCGCGUGGAGGAUGAAGGUCUUCGGAUUGUAAACUCCUGUCGACCGGGACGAAAGUAGUCUGACCCAACACGUCAGGCUAUUGACUGUACCGGUGGAGGAAGCCAC
rnacentral:rRNA from 1 species